rnacentral:lncRNA from 1 species
AAAAACAAAACAGGGCAGCAAAUUUCCCCGACUCUACGAGCCGGUCAAUUAGAACGGAAAUUAGCCUUGGUGUUUUAAACACUUUGCGGGGAAGAAAAGGGUAUCAUAACUGUCCAACCCACGGCUGCAUGCGGUCCUGAAUAGCUGAGUGCAACUUGUGAACAAGUUCCUGGAAAGAAGUGGCAUCUUCAACUGGUUCCUAGAAAUAAUGACCAAACAGUAAGAUGAUUUGAUGGGAAAUAUAC